GCUUCCUACGGGAGGCAGCAGUGGGGAAUUUUGGACAAUGGGCGCAAGCCUGAUCCAGCAAUGCCGCGUGAGUGAAGAAGGCCUUCGGGUUGUAAAGCUCUUUUGUCAGGGAAGAAACGGCUGCGGCUAAUAUCCGCGGCUAAUGACGGUACCUGAAGAAUAAGCACCGGCUAACUACGUGCCAGCAGCCGCGGUAAUACGUAGGGUGCAAGCGUUAAUCGGAAUUACUGGGCGUAAAGCGUGCGCAGGCGGUUUUGUAAGUCUGACGUGAAAUCCCCGGGCUCAACCUGGGAAUUGCGUUGGAGACUGCAAGGCUGGAGUCUGGCAGAGGGGGGUAGAAUUCCACGUGUAGCAGUGAAAUGCGUAGAGAUGUGGAGGAACACCGAUGGCGAAGGCAGCCCCCUGGGCCAAGACUGACGCUCAUGCACGAAAGCGUGGGGAGCAAACAGGAUUAGAUACCCUGGUAGUCCACGCCCUAAACGAUGUCUACUAGUUGUCGGGUCUUAAUUGACUUGGUAACGCAGCUAACGCGUGAAGUAGACCGCCUGGG
rnacentral:rRNA from 1 species